rnacentral:rRNA from 1 species
GACGGACGCUGGCGGCGUGCUUAACACAUGCAAGUCGAGCGGUAAGGCCCUUUCGGGGGUACACGAGCGGCGAACGGGUGAGUAACACGUGGGUGACCUGCCCUCAGCUCUGGGAUAAGCCUGGGAAACCGGGUCUAAUACUGGAUAUGACUCCAUGACGCAUGUUGUGGGGUGGAAAGCCUUGUGCGGCUGAGGAUGGGCCCGCGGCCUAUCAGCUUGUUGGUGGGGUGANGGCCUACCAAGGCGACGACGGGUAGCCGGCCUGAGAGGCGACCGGCCACACUGGGACUGAGACACGGCCCAGACUCCUACGGGAGGCAGCAGUGGGGAAUCUUGCGCAAUGGGCGAAAGCCUGACGCAGCGACGCCGCGUGA